rnacentral:lncRNA from 13 species
UGUCAGUUCAUUUUUAGCAGCAUAGAUAAGGGAGGCUGGAAGCAACACAGCCUUCAUGCUUUUCAGCAAAGUCACAGUGAAAGUCUGGACCACAGUAUCACUUCUUUCUCUGAAAAUCUGGGGUUGUUCAGCCAUGUAGUUUACAAAUAAUAAUGGCUGAGGUUGCAUGCCAGUGUGACCAGGGAGUUUAAUAUUUAAUCUCACAGGUGUCUGCAGUGUGCCCUUGAAGCUGUGUCACUGAGACAGAUACCUACCUGUGGGAAUUGGAAGUGCUCUUCAGGAACUGUGAUGCCUUGUGCUGACAAGUCCUUGCACUCAGCUAGACUUCUGGGAUCAGCACUCUGCCAACGGCCGCCUUGUUCUCAUAAACACACAAAGCCCCAAAAAGAAACCCAGCAAAUAUUUCCUAUGGUGGAUUAUUUAUUUCCAAGAGAACAUAAAUCAACAAGUGUCACUGAGAAAGUGAGGAGGAAAACACAUUUCCGGUUUUGGCCAGAAAAAAGCAUCAGGGACAGCACUGCAAAAGAUCUUCCAAAGCAUACAAAGUUUUCUAUGAAUUGAGAAAUGAAGAUAAUGGGGUCACAGAAAUAAAUCCAGUGCCAGUGCUUUAGCCCCACAAGAAGUAAACCUCUGACUCUUCAGGACAUGGCUCUGAAGCAUCCAGUGCUG